AGAGUUCGCUUUUGGCUCAGGAUGAACGCUAGCGACAGGCUUAACACAUGCAAGUCGAGGGGCAGCGGGGGCGAAGCUUGCUUCUCCUGCCGGCGACCGGCGCACGGGUGAGUAACACGUAUGCGACCUGCCCCCCGCAGGGGGAUAACCGGGAGAAAUCCCGACUAAUACCGCGUAACGCCGCUGGGCUGCAUGGCCCGGCGGCCAAAGGAAGCGAUUCCGGCGGGUGAUGGGCAUGCGGCGCAUUAGCUAGUCGGCGGGGUAACGGCCCACCGAGGCGACGAUGCGUAGGGGUUCUGAGAGGAAGGUCCCCCACACUGGUACUGAGACACGGACCAGACUCCUACGGGAGGCAGCAGUGAGGAAUAUUGGUCAAUGGGCGGGAGCCUGAACCAGCCAAGUCGCGUGAGGGAAGACGGUCCUACGGAUUGUAAACCUCUUUUGCCGGGGAGCAACGGGGUCCUUGCGAGGGCCCGAUGAGAGUACCCGGAGAAAAAGCAUCGGCUAACUCCGUGCCAGCAGCCGCGGUAAUACGGAGGAUGCGAGCGUUAUCCGGAUUUAUUGGGUUUAAAGGGUGCGUAGGCGGGCUGUUAAGUCAGCGGUCAAAUGUCGGGGCUCAACCCCGGCCUGCCGUUGAAACUGGCGGCCUCGAGUGGGCGAGAAGUAUGCGGAAUGCGUGGUGUAGCGGUGAAAUGCAUAGAUAUCACGCAGAACUCCGAUUGCGAAGGCAGCAUACCGGCGCCCGACUGACGCUGAGGCACGAAAGCGUGGGUAUCGAACAGGAUUAGAUACCCUGGUAGUCCACGCAGUAAACGAUGAAUGCUAGCUGUCCGGUUCUACGGGACUGGGUGGCACAGCGAAAGCGUUAAGCAUUCCACCUGGGGAGUACGCCGGCAACGGUGAAACUCAAAGGAAUUGACGGGGGCCCGCACAAGCGGAGGAACAUGUGGUUUAAUUCGAUGAUACGCGAGGAACCUUACCCGGGCUCAAACGCCAAAGGACAGCCGUUGAAAGGCGGCCUCCCUCCGGGGUCUUUGGCGAGGUGCUGCAUGGUUGUCGUCAGCUCGUGCCGUGAGGUGUCGGCUUAAGUGCCAUAACGAGCGCAACCCCCAUCGACAGUUGCUAACGGGUAGAGCCGAGGACUCUGUCGAGACUGCCGGCGCAAGCUGCGAGGAAGGCGGGGAUGACGUCAAAUCAGCACGGCCCUUACGUCCGGGGCGACACACGUGUUACAAUGGCCGGUACAGCGGGAUGCCAGGGCGCGAGCCCGAGCGGAACCCGAAAACCGGUCUCAGUUCGGAUAGGAGUCUGCAACCCGACUCCAUGAAGCUGGAUUCGCUAGUAAUCGCGCAUCAGCCACGGCGCG
rnacentral:rRNA from 1 species